rnacentral:rRNA from 1 species
GAUGAACGCUGGCGGCGUGCCUAAUACAUGCAAGUCGAGCGAACGGACGAGAAGCUUGCUUCUCUGAUGUUAGCGGCGGACGGGUGAGUAACACGUGGAUAACCUACCUAUAAGACUGGGAUAACUUCGGGAAACCGGAUCUAAUACCGGAUGAUAUUUUGAACCGCAUGGUUCAAAAGUGAAAGACGGUCUUGCUGUCACUUAUAGAUGGAUCCGCGCUGCAUUAGCUAGUUGGUAAGGUAACGGCUUACCAAGGCAACGAUGCAUAGCCGACCUGAGAGGGUGAUCGGCCACACUGGAACUGAGACACGGUCCAGACUCCUACGGGAGGCAGCAGUAGGGAAUCUUCCGCAAUGGGCGAAAGCCUGACGGAGCAACGCCGCGUGAGUGAUGAAGGUCUUCGGAUCGUAAAACUCUGUUAUUAGGGAAGAACAUAUGUGUAAGCAACUGUGCACAUCUUGACGGUACCUAAUCAGAAAGCCACGGCUAACUACGUG